UGGAUCUACAAUGGCUUCAGCAGUGUGCUCC
rnacentral:piRNA from 1 species